GACGAACGCUGGCGGCGUGCUUAACACAUGCAAGUCGAGCGAAAGGCCACUUCGGUGGUACUCGAGCGGCGAACGGGUGAGUAACACGUGAGUAAUCUGCCCCUGGCUUUGGGAUAGCCACCGGAAACGGUGAUUAAUACCGGAUAUGACCACUUCUCGCAUGGGUUGUGGUGGAAAGUUUUUCGGCCAGGGAUGUGCUCGCGGCCUAUCAGCUUGAUGGUGAGGUAAUGGCUCACCAUGGCUUCGACGGGUAGCCGGCCUGGGAGGGUGACCGGUCACACUGGGACUGAGACACGGCCCAGACUCCUACGGGAGGCAGCAGUGGGGAAUAUUGGACAAUGGGCGGAAGCCUGAUCCAGCAACGCCGCGUGAGGGAUGACGGCCUUCGGGUUGUAAACCUCUUUCAGUACCGACGAAGCGCAAGUGACGGUAGGUACAGAAGAAGCACCGGCCAACUACGUGCCAGCAGCCGCCGUAAGAC
rnacentral:rRNA from 1 species